AGAGUUUGAUCCUGGCUCAGAACGAACGCUGGCGGCAGGUCUUAGGCAUGCAAGUCGAACGGGUGAAGCAGGGCUUGCCCUGUGGAUCUAGUGGCGCACGAGUGAGUAACGCGUGGGAAACUGCCCAUUACUGGGGAAUAACGUUUGGAAACGAACGCUAAUACCGCAUACGCCGGAAACGGGAAAGAUUUAUCGGUGAUGGAUGUGCCCGCGUUGGAUUAGCUUGUUGGUGGGGUAAUGGCCUACCAAGGCAAUGAUCCAUAGCUGGUCUGAGAGGACGAUCAGCCACGCUGGAACUGAGACACGGUCCAGACUCCUACGGGAGGCAGCAGCUAAGAAUAUUGGGCAAUGGAGGCAACUCUGACCCAGCCAUGCCGCGUGAAUGAAGAAGGCCUUCGGGUUGUAAAGUUCUUUUAGUCGUGAAGAUGAUGACAGUAGCGACAGAAAAAGCACCGGCUAACUUCGUGCCAGCAGCCGCGGUAAUACGAAGGGUGCAAGCGUUGUUCGGAUUUACUGGGCGUAAAGCGUCCGUAGGUGGUUUGUUAAGUCAGGGGUGAAAUCCCGGGGCCCAACCCCGGAACUGCCUUUGAUACUGGCAGGCUGGAGCGUGAUAGAGGAAGAUGGAAUAUCUGGUGUAGGGGUGAAAUCCGUAGAUAUCAGAUAGAACACCAAUGGCGAAGGCAGUCUUCUGGAUCAUUGCUGACACUGAGGGACGAAAGCGUGGGUAGCAAACAGAAUUAGAUACUCUGGUAGUCCACGCCCUAAACGAUGCGUGCUUGUUGUUGGUUUCCUUCGGGAUAUCAGUGACGUAGCUAACGCGUUAAGCACGCCGCCUGGGGAGUACGAUCGCAAGAUUAAAACUUAAAGGAAUUGACGGGGACCCGCACAAGCGGUGGAGUAUGUUGUUUAAUUCGAUGCUACGCGAGAAACCUUACCGACCCUUGACAUCUUGGUCGCGACUUCCAGAGAUGGUUGUCUUCAAUUCGGUUGGACCAAAGACAGAUGCUGCAUGGCUGUCGUCAGCUCGUGUCGUGAGAUGUUAGGUUAAGUCCUGCAACGAGCGCAACCCACGCCCUAUGUUGCCAGCGGGUAAUGCCGGGAACUCUUAGGGGACCGCCCGCGUCAAGCGGGAGGAAGGUGUGGAUGA
rnacentral:rRNA from 1 species